GCUCAAACGAUUGCCUUCUGCUGCUGAUACCUCUACUCGCAAACACUCUCAGUUGUAUGUUUAAGAUACACAUGACUAUCAAUUUAAAGCAUGAUGUUUGCAGGUCAUAUUUACUUAAGCAUAAGCAUUUUCUAUGUUUUAACUAUUCUCUGUACACAUUUAAAGGUUUAAUUCAUGCCUGAAUGUUACUUACGGAAUGCAGAGUUCUGGGAAUGGAUUUGGAGCUCAUUUAGCUGGGCUUAUGGUCUAAGGAAGUCAAUCGUGCAUUCUCUGUAGGUUCUCACAUCUAGCCUGAAGAUUCAUAUAACUUCCACGUAAUACAUUCUUCUCUCUUUCAUGAAAUUUUUCUUUGAUAUUUCGGCUGUGCGCUAAACAACUCAUGAGUGCAGAUUUUACCCACUUGUGAAUGAAAAAAAUGAGCAGGUAUGUAAAUGCUCUAACUGUGUACUGUAUUUGUUUUUGUCAGAUUGUACAAAUCCCAACAUCAUGUGAAUGUUCAUUCUGUAAUAUAAAUCCGGUAGGUAUAUUUUUUACCGUGCAAAUAUUUGCAAUAAAGCCUGCAUGUGAAUGUUCAUUCUGUAAUAUAAAUCUAUACAUAUAUUCCACACUUCACUGUUUUUCAGCUAACUAUGCUUUCUGGCCCGUAUGUUGCUCAAGUAACCUAUAUGUUAAAUUUUCACAUGUGUUUUGCUGAAACUUCUUGGUUCAUGACAAGUUUUAUUAAAUGGAUUGUCUGUAAGUUACUGGAUGGGGAGCUGACAGAUUGUUUUCUGUAUGCGCCAGCAGACCUGCAUACCAUUCACUUUCCUUUGGAGUAUGUGUGUUUGCCUGAAUUAGUUGGCUACAUAAUUGACUCCACAUUUGCAAAAGCAAGAUUAGGUCGUCUUUUUUCCUUGCUAGAUAAAGAUUUGGCUUCCCAUUUUAAUAAGAGGGUGAUUGACUAAAGCUUCUCCCUUGAAUUCAGAAGGUAAGAUGAAAAGGGGGUUAAAUAUUAACACUGUUCUUUAGUAUUUGAACACUGUUCAUAUAGGGCUCGUUGUUGCUGAGUCCGAUCAAGAAUACUGACUCUGAACUCUUUUGCAUGCACUAAACACCGAAAUCUUAUCUGCAGCAAGAUGUCAGGUUGAUCUGAAGAGAAGUAAGCAAGUAUUCAGUAUGGUUGUCAAGAUAUCUAUUUUGUCGACACCGGCCAUCGAAAAAAGCCUAUGAAAUACUAUUUACCUACCUACUGUUGUACCAAGUAUGGAUGCAGAAGACGUAUUGUUUUGUUAACACAUCGGUUCUUUCCUCCCGGUUGCUCGCACUCUCCCUCAUUGAUGGCCACCUUGAGUUGCUGAUUGGCCCCGUCUUUAGUUCAUGAGGCGCAGUGACCCAUGCCUCCAUGCUUGCUCUGCUCACUACAGCUUGACACCGUGUAUGUUUCUACCUCUGCAACUGUGGUGGUUUUCUCACAUGGACCACCAGCUGGGCGAGUAUUAUGCAAAGCUCUGCUGUGAAGUUAUCUGAAUGCGUCCGACAUUUGUUUACAUUAGAAAUUUAGAAUGCAAGGAAGAAUUGUGAACUUAGCAUCAGUUGUUGGCCUCGCUAGCUACUUUCAGCACUGGACAUAGUAAUUAGAGAGGGCUGAGGUAUGGUGCAAGUGUUUAGGUAAUUUUCUAUCUUCUUUUACCACAUGGAUAUUUAACAUUUCUGUACAACAUAUGUUGGUGCUUUUUCUCCAAGCUUUUAUGGUUGUCUGAUGAAUAUUUGUCAGCUGCCUAUAUGCUCUCUAAAUGGGUAGUUAGUAUAAUUCUAAAGCCCAAUUGUUACUACAUGUGAUUUAAGAAUUUUUUACAAGAUCAUACGAAAAUACCAGUUCCACCAUGUCAGUAAUCUCUGAGCAAUUGUGCAAACGGGAAGAAACAAAGAUUUUUUUUAUUGUCUCUCUUUAUUUGCUUUGAUGCCUAGGAAAUGUUAGAUCCCACUCAAAUAUUUCCUAUUGUGAUUAUUACUGCUUAUUUGUGACGAAAAAAGGGAGUGCAUACCAUCAUAGUAGUACAAACAAAUUGGGAUCUGUAUGAAGUUGAUGCACAUUGAUUUCUCAUUUAUUAUGGUGUCAAAUGUGUGACAUAGAAUACAGUUGAGACUCCACUUAGAUGAUUUCGUUAAAUGAGCUUCAAAUAUAUCUCUAACGUGUAUUUACCUCAAUAUCUGUCUUACACAAUACAUGUGAGUAUCACCUUCUAAGUCAUGACCACCUUGCUAUGGGCUCUAAUUUCUAUAUUUUUCUGCGAAUAGUUUGCAUUAAUUAUUUAGGACACCAAUUCCCACUGAUUUACCAGAAUAAUAGGACUAAUUAUUUGAACUCCAAUGCAGGAGCGUGACUCAUGGAAUUAACUUAAGGUAUCUACAAAUGUCAGCUGCAGAUAUUCAAUGAUUAAGCUACCUACACCAAUUGCUGCAACCGAAGACAACCUGUUUAGGUUAGAUUGUGCUACUACCAUAUAUUCAGUGCUUAGGCUACCUACAACAGUUGCUGUAACUCACACACAACCUGUUUAGUUUAGAAAAUACUAGCCCACUGCCACGUUAUGUGUGCUUUCUGUUACUGGUUGGUUUUAUGCUAUGUUACAGUUAACGAUUUGUUCUUUGUACUUCAUGUAGUCUUGUGUUGCUCUGAUCAAUAUACUGCGGACUACUUUUUGUCUCAUC